AGCCUGGGAUGGCUGGUGGGUGGGAGACCAGAGAGCAGCAGAAAUGUGCUUUCCAGCCCUAGUGCGGUUUGUCCCGGGUUAACGGAGGAGUGAGAUGAGAGUAUCACUCCUAACAGUCGAGCAGGCUAACAAAACAAUAACAAAUAAGCCAGGGAACCACUGGGCUAAUUACAUCGGGAGAAUGGCGACUGCUCUAAGGGUGAGAGACAAGAGAGAUCUCUUCAUAGUGAUGAAAACAAACAAACAAACAACAACAAUAAAACCAAAAAAGACAGCCCGGCAUCCCAGCCAGAACUCCUGGAGAUAAGUUCCGACUCCUCUCAGGGAGGAGUGGAAGCUGCAGCACUGAAAGACGAAGUCGCCUACUCACACUGUACAGCCAGUUUCUGGCUUAGCAGAAGAAUGUCCUUCCUUCAGAGUCAGUCCAGAGGAGAGAGCGUUGUUGCUUAGCAACUGUUGGGCUGUUGGUGUUGUUUUGUGCCCUAGUGUUUGUGCCUGCGUGUUUUCCUGUGCAGCUGUAUACAUUGCUUUGCACCCGGAUGUGGGGGUCAGAGGUCAGGCGUCUUCCUCCAUUGUUCUACAUCUUAUUUAUUUUGAGACAGAGUCCCUAACUGAACCUGGAGCUGAUUAAUUCAGCUGAACUGGUUGUCCAGUGAAUGCCAGGUAUCCUCCUGUCUCCAUCUCCUCAGCCUGGGGCUUGUGGGUACAUGACUAUGCCUGGCUAAGGAAGUGACUCCUCAGACUUCUGUACACACUUUACUGACUGAGCCAUUUUCCCAGACUUGCUUGUGUUGAUUUUUAAAAUCUUGUGUCGCUCUAGGUUGCCACCCAAACUCUUGAUAACUGUG
rnacentral:lncRNA from 1 species